GACGUAGGGCGCGAGCGUUGUCCGGAUUUAUUGGGCGUAAAGAGCUCGUAGGCGGCUUGUCGCGUCGACUGUGAAAACCCGCGGCUUAACUGCGGGACUGCAGUCGAUACGGGCAGGCUAGAGUUCGGUAGGGGAGACUGGAAUUCCUGGUGUAGCGGUGAAAUGCGCAGAUAUCAGGAAGAACACCCGCGGCUAAGGCGGCUCUCUAGUACGGUACUGACGCUGAGACGCGAAAGCGUGGGGAGCGAACAGG
rnacentral:rRNA from 1 species